rnacentral:lncRNA from 1 species
AUAUAAAUUUGGAGGAAACACAAGCAUUCAUUCCAUGGUACACCCCUUCUGCUUGUGGAACCAAGGAACCCACCCAGAGAUUGAGUCUUCUGAGAAUGACAUCAGAGAAAGACUGCCCUUGCCACCCACACUGCAACAAAACUUUGGGAUCUUGGAUCUUGGGUUAAUAAUCUCGCAAUUCAGAAGGACUUCUCCAGACUCUUAGAUGUGAACCUUCACUGGAGACCUUAAGGGGCUGGUGCUGUAUGCUUUUGGAUAGUAGAUGGAGGAAAACAAGAAAAAGUGGUCAUGGUGCAAUAGUCAUCUGAUACUUUCAACAUUUACCAUGGCUUCCAUUCGCUCUACAGACUCCAGAUGAACUCGGUUUUCCAAUAUCAACUCUACCAAUCCCUACCCUCCAGUACCAGGACGUUCAGCAUAGCUGAAGGAUGUCACAAAAUUAUGAUGUAGUAUUCUCUAUGUUUUUCUUAAGUUGUAACUUCACUUAAGUUUCAUAGGUACUUAGCAAUUUUUGUAUACUUCUUGCUGCAAGAAUCAUGGUGACUGUUUCAAGGAUCUUACAAUUUGCUUUUGCCAUUUAGUAUAGUCUGCCUUAUGUUUUAUGUGUGUGUGUUUGUAUGUGUAUAAUUUCUGACUACAUCCUAGAGCUUGGUCCUAAGUUUUAAUAAAUUUUUACAGCCUCUAAGUCCAUAUUUAUUUAACAAAUAUUUAUUGAAUAAAUUAUAUGUGUUAGACAUGUUAUAAACAUAAAGAA